ensembl:miRNA
GCGUGUGUGUGUGUGUGUGUGUGUGUGUGUGUGUGUGUGUGCGCGCGCGCGCAUGCGCGCACAUGCACGCACGCACACCCCA